rnacentral:rRNA from 1 species
AACAUGAAGAGUUUGAUCCUGGCUCAGGAUGAACGCUGGCGGCAUGCCUAAUACAUGCAAGUCGAACGAA